CAACGCUUCGCUUAUUUUUUUUUUAAUUUUUGGUGCUCGUUUCUCUUUGGAGAACACUUAAAUUAGUUAACUCCUUUCUGAUCUGACCAGACUAGAGAUCUAAAAAUCUUGAUGUAGAUCUAGAUCUAAAUUCUAACAGCUUUCACUGUUUCAGUCAUUGUCGACUCAACUUUGUAUAAUCUAAUAAAUGUGUUGGUAUGACAAAACGUUUUGUUAACACUACACAGUGACAAGUGUGGCUGAGUAAGCAACAAGAUUGUAUUAGAAACCAGAUUUCUUUGCGAGAAAAACGUUAUGGAUGACUAUGAUAGUGCAUCAAACCAUCAAGAGGUUCCGGGCUAUGUGCCAGUGGAAUUAAUACUCCAACAUUCCCAGCAUGGCACCUAUUCAAUAGUUAGAGUGGAGUUUCCUUUAACCACGAAAGUUUCUAUUUUAAAACAAGACAUGGAAAAACGGUUGAAAAUUCCACCCGAGCGUCAAGAGUGGUUUUAUAAAGGGGUUGUCAUGCAACCGUAUGAUACAAUGUUGCACAGGAGAGUCAAAGUUGAUGAUAAAAUUGUUGUUAAAGAGAAUACAGCUACAGGGCACUAGCCAAAAGAUUAACUGUUAUAUGGCCUUUCAGAUCAGUCUUGCACCAGAGUUUUAGGAUGGACCAAUAUAGGAGGAGUGACCUGUGACCUGACGGCAUUUCAGGACUGACACAACCUUGUGUUGAUUUAAAGGAGUUUUAAGGCUGACAUGCCAACAUAGAAUGAGGUGACAAAGUGGAUCUUCAGGACAGAUACACUUUUAUCAUGAGUUGGCCUUGUGGAUAUUCAGGACAGAUACACCCUUAUCAUGAGGUAACCUAAUGGAUUUCCAUGUUCCAGCAGGUUGACACAUACAAUCAUAUUACGAGAGGACUUUAUCAUUCCUUGGUCUCAGUGCUAUGAUCUAAUUAAAAUGUCAGAACCUGA
rnacentral:sRNA from 1 species